GCCGGGCAUGGUAGCCCAUGCCUGUAGUCCCAGCCACUCCGGAGGCUGAGGCAGGAGAAUUGCUUGAGCCUGGGAGGUGGAGGUUGCAGUGAGCUGAGAUUGCGCCACUGAACUCCAGCCUGGGCAACAGAGUGAGACUCUGUCUCAA
rfam:Pan troglodytes isolate Yerkes chimp pedigree #C0471 (Clint) chromosome 3, whole genome shotgun sequence.